GAUGAAGAACGUAGCGAAAUGCGAUACUUGGUGUGAAUUGCAGAAUCCCGUGAACCAUCGAGUCUUUGAACGCAAGUUGCGCCCGAAGCCACUAGGCCGAGGGCACGCCUGCCUGGGCGUCACACGUCGUUCCCCCCCCAUCUACUCCUUCGGGAUUGCAGGGGGCGGAUGAUGGCCUCCCGUGCGCCUCGCCGCGCGGUUGGCAUAAAUACCAAGUCCUCAACGACGCACGCCACGACAAUCGGUGGUUGCGAAACCUCGGUUGCCCGUCGUGUGCGUUCGUCGCGCAUCGAGGGCUCGAAAAAAUGCUCGGCUCCGGCUCGGCUUUCAACGCGACCCCAGGUCAGGCGGGGUUACCCGCUGAAUUUAAGCAUAUCAAUAAGCGGAGGA
rnacentral:misc_RNA from 1 species